rnacentral:lncRNA from 1 species
GAAAUUGGUGACUGCCCAGUUGGCAACUUGUUGGAUGCUGGGAAAGUGCAGAUUCCUGACAGCGGUGACGUACAUUCUGGAUGGCACUGUUUUCUGGGAGGUAUCCUUGAGGAAUCUGCUUGAACUUGGGGGAUUUAGGAGCUAUGAGCUAGACAUUGAGCCUUGCCCUAGAUGACUGUGGUGGGUAUCCUGCCUCCAAUAUUUUGUCAUAACAACACAAAAUUAACUAAGGCGAAGUGUAAUGGGGAGUGGUUGCUUAACCGAAAUAAAAUUUUGGGAGCAGAUAGUGAUGAUGGAUGCACAAGAUUCCCGCUACAGCCUUGUGACCCAAGGCUCUGGAAUGGAUCAACCCGCCUACGCCUGCACACAGCUCUGCGUCUCCAUGGAAACAGCUUGUCAGGCCCUGCUUGGCUGCAGAGAUGGAACUGUACUGCAAUAGAGGUUGCUCAGAUUAGUAAGAACGAAGAAGAAGAAGAAGGAGAAGGAGGAGAAGGAGAAGGAGAAGAAGAAGAAGAAGAAGAAGAAGAAGAAGAAGAAGAAGAAGAAGAAGAAGAAGAAGAACAACAACAACAACAACAACAACAACAACAACAACAAGAAAAUAAAUUGUUUUUGAGAUAGGGACUCACUCUGUAGUCCAGGAAGGCCUAGAAUUUACUGUGUAGCCAAGGCUAGCCUCAAAUUACAUCAUUCUCUUGCCUCUGUGUCAUGAAUGCUGCAGCUAUGGGUGUGUGUCACCAUACCCAACUAAACUGACAAGAAAAAUAAUGUUUUAUUAAAUUCCA